UACGUAGGCAGCAAGCGUUGUCCGGAGUUACUGGGCGUAAAGAGCGCGUAGGCGGUUUCGUAAGUUUGGUGUGAAAUCUCCCGGCUUAACCGGGAGGGUGCGCCGAAAACUGCGAGGCUGGAGUGUGGGAAAGGUAGGCGGAAUUCCUGGUGUAGCGGUGAAAUGCGUAGAUAUCAGGAGGAACACCGGCGGUGUAGGCGGCUUACUGGGCCGUGACUGACGCUGAGGCGCGAAAGCGUGGGUAGCAAACAGG
rnacentral:rRNA from 1 species